rnacentral:siRNA from 1 species
UCUGAGAUCUUGACCAAGAUUGAC